CUUUUUUUAACCUUUUAUCGUAGUCCGUGGCUUCAUUGGCUCAGUGUUUCCUCCCACUAGCAUUAAGUUUGGCGACACUCACAAGCAUUUGUGGAUGAUCAAAUGGUUUUUAAUAGGUUGUGUGAUGCUAGAACUGCCUUCACAACAUCUUACCUUCUUAUCCAUGGAUGCUCUAGCUUAAUGCUGUGAUUCUAAUUCACGAUCUUGUCGGUUUUCCAUCUGAAGAAACACCAGAAUAUUGAGCAUUAUACUCGAGGAGAAGAGUAGCUCGACAUGUAUUUUGUGGCAAAUUUUUGUCAUGACACUGAAUGUCUUCAGUGUACAUUAAUGCUCUUUUGAUCAUCGUUUGAUACAAAUCUAAAAGGAUCGAUUUGAUUUUAUCUCCUUCUGUGGGUGGCUUCUAAUGGUCGAUGCAACUGGUAUCCUUUACGACCAGUCAUGAUUCAAGGCAUGUUUUUCUGCAAUCCGUUUCCAGUUUUGAUCGCUAUAACGUAUGAGGUGUUUGGUUUAGACCAACCUUUAUGUCAGCAUUAGUCUGUUUGCUAUAUCCUUGUGCAUCAUUUUUAACUGGACUCAACAUGUAUCCUUCCUGUUAUUUAUUAGGUUGUUCUUAAUAAGCAUGAGGUCUAUCCCGGAGAUAGGUAUCAUGUAGAGACGGAAGAAACAAUGAAGUAUUGUGGCAAGGAUAUGCCUCUCUCAGAAAAUGUUGCUAAUAAGCCCGAGGUCUAUCUCGGACGUGGGUUUCGUGUAGCAUAUGAAGAAGCAAUGAAGUAUGGCGCCGGGUUUAUGAUGCGUCAUUUCCCACUACAAGUUGCCCUAUGUGAAUAAAGCUCACUCUCGACCAAGAUAGCUUUAAUUGGUGGAUCACUUUUGUUUGAAAGGUGUGAUGCUCUGGAAGGUCCUUGGAAAAGAACGGGCCGUUCCGUCAAGAUCCUCUUGUUCGUGGCGUCUUUUGCUUGUUGCAGUUGCUAACGUGGUCCAAUCUGGUUUCUACUUUGGACUGGAU